UAUACAUGCAGUCGAGCGGACUUUUAAAGCUUGCUUUUGAAAGGUCAGCGGCGGACGGGUGAGUAACACGUGGGCAACCUGCCUGUAAGACUGGGAUAACUUCGGGAAACCGGAGCUAAUACCGGAUAAUAUAAGGAACCUCCUGGUUCUUUAUUGAAAGAUGGUUUCGGCUAUCACUUACAGAUGGGCCCGCGGCGCAUUAGCUAGUUGGUGAGGUAACGGCUCACCAAGGCGACGAUGCGUAGCCGACCUGAGAGGGUGAUCGGCCACACUGGGACUGAGACACGGCCCAGACUCCUACGGGAGGCAGCAGUAGGGAAUCUUCCACAAUGGACGAAAGUCUGAUGGAGCAACGCCGCGUGAGCGAUGAAGGCCUUCGGGUCGUAAAGCUCUGUUGUUAGGGAAGAACAAGUGCGAGAGUAACUGCUCGCACCUUGACGGUACCUAACCAGAAAGCCACGGCUAACUACGUGCCAGCAGCCGCGGUAAUACGUAGGUGGCAAGCGUUGUCCGGAAUUAUUGGGCGUANAGCGCGCGCAGGUGGUCCUUUAAGUCUGAUGUGAAAGCCCACGGCUC
rnacentral:rRNA from 1 species